rnacentral:rRNA from 1 species
GGAGAAAAGCAGGGGAUCGCAAGACCUUGCGCUCAUUGAGCAGCCGAUGCCUGAUUAGCUAGUUGGUGAGGUAAAGGCUUACCAAGGCGACGAUCAGUAGCUGGUCUGAGAGGACGACCAGCCACACUGGGACUGAGACACGGCCCAGACUCCUACGGGAGGCAGCAGUGGGGAAUUUUGGACAAUGGGGGAAACCCUGAUCCAGCCAUGCCGCGUGAGUGAAGAAGGCCUUCGGGUUGUAAAGCUCUUUCAGCCGGAACGAAACGGUCACGGCUAAUACCUGUGACUUCUGACGGUACCGGAAGAAGAAGCACCGGCUAACUACGUGCCAGCAGCCGCGGUAAUACGUAGGGUGCGAGCGUUAAUCGGAAUUACUGGGCGUAAAGCGUGCGCAGGCGGUUUUGUAAGUCAGAUGUGAAAUCCCCGGGCUUAACCUGGGAACUGCGUUUAAAAUACGAAGCUAGAAGGGC